GCUGGCGUAGCUCAGUUGGUAGAGCAGCUGACUUGUAAUCAGCAGGUCGGGGGUUCAAAUCCCUUCGCCAGCU
rnacentral:tRNA from 4 species